GAUGAAGAACGUAGCGAAAUGCGAUAAUUAAUGUGAAUUGCAGAAUUCAGUGAAUCAUCGAGUCUUUGAACGCACAUUGCGCCCCCUGGUAUUCCGGGGGGCAUGCCUGUCCGAGCGUCAUUGCUGCCCUCAAGCCCGGCUUGUGUGUUGGGCCUCGUCCCCCCUCCGGGGGACGGGCCCGAAAGGCAGCGGCGGCACCGUGUCCGGUCCUCGAGCGUAUGGGGCUUUGUCACCCGCUCUGUAGGCCCGGCCGGCGCCUUAGCCGACGACACAAUCUUUUUUUUCAGGUUGACCUCGGAUCAGGUAGGGAUACCCGCUGAACUUAAGCAUAUCAAUAAGCGAGGA
rnacentral:misc_RNA from 1 species